rnacentral:rRNA from 1 species
CCCUUAGAUGUUCUGGGCUGCACACGUGCUACACUGGCAGGUUCAGCGAGCUUCAUGCCCUGAUCUGAAAGGAAUGGGAAAUCUUUUCAAAACCUGCCGUGCUUGGGAUAGAUGUUUGCAAUUAUUCAUCUUCAACGAGGAUUGCCUUGUAAGCGCACGUCAUCAGCGUGCAUUGAAUACGACCCUGUAUUCUGUACACACCGCCCGUCGCACCUACCGAUUGGAUGGUCCGGUGAAGCCUCGGGAUUGUGGUUCUUGCCGCUUUAUUGUGGCGUGACCGCGAGAACUUGUCUAAACCUUAUCAUCUAGAGGAAGGUGAAGUCGUAACA